rnacentral:snoRNA from 1 species
CUUCUGGUGAUGAGACCUUUGUCCAGUUCUGCUACUGAACUCCAGCGAUGACAGUUUGGAGAUCUGAGGAGG